GUGUGGCAUCUUUCUGAACUUCCCCAAUCGUCCGAGCUUCCAUGAUGCCAUCCGGACUUCUCCGAUAAUUAGCUCCUCCAUUCAUAAACCGGACUGCUCUAAAUGCUUUUCGAGCUUCACUAUCAGUUGAUUUUCUACAGUGAUUGACUAUUCUCCGAAUCUCUUCCAGACUUCUUCCGGCCAUGAACGACUUUACUCCAAACUUUUUUCGAACUUCGUCAAUAUCCGAGCUUCUUCAACAGCAAGACUUCGACAGUAAUCAGACUCCAUCCAAGUUUCUACGACGGUCGACCGUCUUCCGAAUUUCAUCCGAGCUCCUACA
rnacentral:lncRNA from 1 species